rnacentral:lncRNA from 1 species
CACACUGGAAACAUUGCAUAUAACCUUAACUACAUUUACCUACAUUUGACUACAUUUUAAAAACUCACUGGAAACACUUAAUAUAACCUUAAGUACAUUUACCUACAUUUGACUACAUUUCAAAAAUAUACUGGAAACAGUGCAUAUAACCUUAACUACAUUUACCUACAUUUGACUAUAUUUUAGAAACUCACUGGAAACACUUCAUAUAACC